rnacentral:rRNA from 1 species
CCCUUAGAUGUUCUGGGCCGCACGCGCGCUACACUGAUGCAUUCAACGAGUCUAAAACCUGCUCUGAUAGGGGUGGGUAAUCUUUUGAAUGUGCAUCGUGAUUGGGAUAGAUGAUUGCAAUUUUUCAUCUUCAACGAGGAAUGCCUAGUAAACGCAAGUCAUCAGCUUGCAUUGAUUACGUCCCUGCCCUUUGUACACACCGCCCGUCGCUCCUACCGAUUGAAUGAUCCGAUGAAUAUCAUGGAUUGAGGAUGCAAGUAGGUUCGCCUAUCUUCAUCUUCGAGAAGUGAAGUAAAUCUUAUCAUUUAGAGGGAGGAGAAGUCGUAACA